GACAAAGUUGAUCUUUAUUUGACAUUCAAUCAAACAAUCCCAAUCAAAUUAAAUUUAGAGCAAGGUAGAAAAAUGCAAGUCACAAUACAUCCUUGUGCAGCAUAGAGAGAUGGGAACACACAGAGGAGAUGCAGGCGAUGCCACUUGUGGAGGCUUGUAGGCAACAACCACCUCGGUGGGGAAGGAGGCUGGUCUUGUGGGUUGAUGAGUACAUUAAUGCACCCCAUGGUGAGAUCCUUGGCGUUGAACAAGGAAUUAGAGCGGUUGUUUAGAGCGGAGAAUGGCGGGGAAUCGAGGCUGCAGUUCAGCCAUUUGCUGGAUGUUCAGUGCAUCAAUUGGCUGUGACUGAUGGAGGUUGUACUGCAAACCAAAGUUCAUUGUUAACGGCUGCACUUGAGUAAAUCUGAAGAAGUAAAUCACAAGAGAGGAAACCGGUGCAUACCUGGUGUUGUCAGACGGCAACUAAGAUGAAGACUCGCGGUGACAGCAGCCUGAUGAGCGACCAAAACGACUGUGAUGGCAACGAAAACGGCAGCAACACACACAACUUCAGAGUCCUCAACAGCUCAGCCUCAAUACCAGUGUUCUCCCAAGCUAGCAAACUGUAGAGAUCUGGGGAGCGAACCCGAAAAAUAAUUUACAGCCUACAAACUAUAAUCAGCAAAUGAAUGUGCGGGGUUCAGAGGAUGUGAGAGAUCCACAAGAGCAGACUAAGAAAGAUUAAAAUAAAAUUACGUGGAACAUUGAGGGGUUGCAACCAAGGUGGAUGCCUUCUAGUACUUCAUAAUAAUUGGACAGAGCGAACAAGAAACUGAAGAACCAUACAAUGGUGGCGUGAGCAAGCCAUUAAUUGUGCUUGUGCGGAGACAUGGAUGCAAUGUUGGAGUUCUGGUUCGAUGAGUGACCCAGGGGAUCCGGUGGAAGCAAGGUUGGUGUUGGCCAGAUAGGCACCAUGGUGCCUGCCGUCAUCAUGGAC
rnacentral:lncRNA from 1 species